CAAUUGCUUUGCACAUCUUAAUGCAUGUGUCUAUGAUUUCAAACUCCUGGAGGUGAAGACUAGUGUCCCAUAGCACACGUGUCUUCUGCACAGGAAGGAAACUGUUGCCAUUGGACUGUAGCUUUUCUUACAUCUUGGCCAUUGCCUAUUGAUAAGGUCAGCCAAGACUACAACAAAAUGAUUAAGAGGAUGGAA